rnacentral:lncRNA from 1 species
CCUCCUCAUUGCUGCUGUCGCCUCCAGCCUUUGAAUCUAAUCACAAAGCCCCACAUCAUCGGCCUCCUCCUUUCUUCUACUGACGGACAUCCCUCCAUCCAACCUCUGAGUCCAGACGAUCCCCCUCCUCCUCCGGGCCCCUCCUCCUUUCCGCUGACUAAUGCCCCUCCUUUUCAACCACCGCCGACCAAUGGAUGACUGAUGUCGUAGACUGAACGAUUCCCCUCCUCCUUAUCGUUGGUGCUGCCACCUCCGAGUCAAGCUCCAAAGUUCGAUCUUUUCCUCUCAGGCUCUCUACCUCUCUCGAUCUCUCUCCAUCGCCGGU